UGGCAAUGAUGAAAGAAAGGCCGGACUUACAGCUGCCCCCAUAGUGGUUGGUAGUAGGUUGAUGAUAAGUUCUAUAAGGUUAUUUCUGAGCUGG
rnacentral:snoRNA from 2 species